rnacentral:lncRNA from 1 species
AAGCUCCGCAGUUGCCAACGCACAAACUUUAAAUGUGAAUUUGUUGCCCCAAACACACUUUCACAACUUCUAAUGACUGAAUCACAAGUGUGCGUGUGAUACCUAUCUGCAUACAUGUCCACGUACAUACGCAUGUGUUCACGAAGCACAUGUGUGAAGCAUGAAGCUUGUAUGUGUGUGUGUGUGUGAGUGCUCUGCACCUUACCUUUUAAUACACUUGCUCACUGACGCUGGAACUCAUCCUUAUGGAUGGGCUGGCUGACCAGGGAGCUUAGGAAACCUGCCUGUCACCACAGCAACCCCCAGUGCUGGGAUUAUAGCUACACACCACCCAGCUUUUACCUGGAUGCUGGAUUUUAGGUGCCCAGCAAACCGUCUGCAUGAUAAGCAUUUCCCAGACUGAGCAUCUCCCAGCCCUGACAUUUUUAUAUUUGAAAUUGAUGUGAGUGAAAUCAGUAAUUCAGUUCCUUGAUAGCACUAGCAAUUGUCGCUCGACAGUCCCAGGGGCAACAACCGCGGGCACUUACAGCUUGUACCCACCCCACAGUGUGUCACCAAUGGUGUCCACCCUACAUAACCCACACACAAGUGUGGAUACUGCCCUAGAGCUCAGUGCCAGCAGCUGAUAUCUAGAUGGGGCACAGACUAAUGCCCCACAGAACAUAUGCCCAGCGCUGCCCCCUGGGCCUGGCUGACGUGACUGCCCUGCCCCAUCCUCCUUAUCUGUGCAUCCACUCUGUGCUACGGGUUCUCCUUGCUGCCCUUGCAUGUUCUCUGCUGGCCCUGGCCUGACUCUGGGCCUGGUUGGAGGUGUCUAAGAGACCUCACUCUCCCAGGUCAUAAAGAGUAAUAUAAAAGGAGUCCACAGAUGUGCAACCCAGAAAGUCCAAGUGGGGUUCUUACAGAGGUAGCAGGAAUCGGGCCCUGCCUUUUAUAAUGAACCCCCUAAUGAACAUGGGUUGUAGAGCUGUUGCCCCAGUGGGUCUCAGGGAUGAAGCUAUUCCCCAGUGCUCUACAGAAUGAAGCCUGCCCCUAGCCUAUGGGCAACAACAAAAGACUUUUGUGAUAUUCAUGGCCCCAUGUCUCCAGGAAAAUUUUUUCCAACCCAGCAAGUCUAGAACUGACCUGGGGAAGAGGAGAGGGAGACAGGGACUUGAGAGUCUCCAGUGUAGCCUACUCUCCAGGAGCUGCUCUUCCUCUAUCUGCCACACCCACCUCAGUAAGGAAGAUAUUUAAGGUGACACACCUCACAACCACUAUCUGCUAGGUGGCACCCUCCUGUUUUCUUGGGCCCUGAAAUACAGAGUCAAAGCCAGUAGCCAGCCUGUCUUAAGGGAAUCUUGGUCCCAAUUCCAAGGCAUAGUCUCUGCUCCAGGCAAUGUAAGUGGCCGGGUAUGGGACUCUGCUGGACCAGGUCUUAGCAGGGGCUAAGAUGCCCUCUCUAAGGCCUGUGGGGUAGAUGGGGGGAAGAGGACAAGCACACAUACACACAUGCGUGCGCGUGCACAUGCAAGUCUAUAAUAAGAACUAUUCAUUCAUGUUAACAAGUUCAUGAUCACAACAGCCUGCCAUGAUCCCUGAAGGCUACAAUCCUGAGCCAUGGAGGCAGAACACUCCUUGGCUACAUAUGCCUCACCAGUCCUGGGACAGUCCCCUGAGGGUCAGAAUGCCUCUUGUGGUUAAACAUCCUGGACAGUGCAAUCUAUCAGAAACGAAGGCACCAUAGCACUCUCCUACACAUUAGCACUAAGGGCAGCUUUGCAUCCUCAGAAGACCCAACAGCAUUAUAGUAAUUGGGGUUUCAAUGCCUUUUCCCUUUGACAGGAAUCAUGGAGAGAAAUGGCCUUAAAGGAAGAUCAAACCCAUCAUAAUUUGGGACAGGAAGGAGGGAGGCUUUACGCCAUAAAUAUUCCACCUCAAAUAAUGAUACUAAGUCUCUACACCAAAACCCAUUAAGCUAUGGCUGGCCUGGGAGAAGCCCACUCAGUCUCUCUUUGGAAUGUUUGUUUCCCCAAAUUAACUCCUGUUCAAACUGUCUCUCUCCUUUGAGAAGACAGGGAUUGAGAGGUGUCCCCACCCCCCACCCCACCCCCCACCCCACCCAUGCCCCGGCAACACUAAAAGCAACCCUGAGUGCUGACCAGAUGACACCCUGUCCUUCCUGCCAAGAGUCUUCAGCAGCUCUCCAGGGAUCAGCUGUGUCUCGCCUGGCCCAGUCCGUUUUCUCACUCAAGACCUAGCAUGCAGAGCUGGGUGAGUUCUGAAGGCUCUUUGGCCAAAAAUGCCUGGCUUUUACCCAUCAAACGUGUCUAGUGUCUGGCUAUGCUACUAUGCAGGCGUUUUAUGAACAUUGGACGUCUGAUCAGCCUCUAGAAGUCCUGGGAGGACGUCUAGCUGUGUGCAGAUGCCCUUACUCUCCCCAGCUCUGCGAUGCCCCCACCCUGGGCUCAUCUGGAACUCAAGCCAAGGAGAUGUUUUGCUAGAUCUUCCAGCCUGGGUUCCAAGGGCAAUGUGGGUUAUGUGCCCACAAACCAGAAGUCUGGGUCCUUGGCAGGUGCUCUGAAACAAGCCUGCUGUUGGAGCUUCCUACUACCUGGAAACUGUUGGUUUCCCUCCCUAACUGGCCACCUCCCUGGUCACAGUGUAGCCUUUAUGAGGUCCAUUCGUGAGGAACUUCUCAGAAGCCACCCCAUGAAGAUGCAAAAGCUCCCACGUGUAAGAAACACAUUUAGUCAAGCACACAUCCCACCCCCCAACUCCCACCACCCAACCAGCCACAUUCUCUUCUCAGCAGAGUUCUGCUUCAUGGCCCUUGGCCUUGCCCAGUUUGGAAAAUUCCAUCCAGCUCCACACAGGUCCUUGAGCCCUCCUGGCAGAGACUUGGUUUAGUAAAAUAAAGUGAUUGACUCAGGGACACUAUGUAGCUAUUUCCAUACUAACUGACCUACUAGCAAGAAAGACACAUUGGCCACACUAUAAUUCCAUGUGGAGUCAUUAAGUAGAGAAGACAGCGUGGAACCCACCCCCUAGGGGAUAGACUCAAGCCUAAUGGAAUUUUCCCAGACCUUGGGGUAUCAACAGGACCUGAGAGGACCAGCCUGACUCUGAGAGAACCAAAACAACCUUAAGGGGAGUCAUCAGAGCUCUGAGGAGAGCAGCUCACACAGAGAGAAUCUUUUACACCAGAAGCAGCAGCACAGCCCUGAGAGCCCCGGCCCAGUCCCAGAAGAGUUCAGAGGAGACCAGCGCAGCCCUAAGGGUGCCAGGCCAGUCCUGUGGGAUGGGAGGACACUCUGCUCUCUGUGAGCUCUUAGCCCCACUCUGUAGUUUGAUUACUCUUUCUCUCAGGCCUGCCAGCCUUCUUGGGAACACAGUUCUGCCCUUCAUAUUGCUUGUAAAGCUUCCUCGUGACCGGUUGGUUCCCAGUGACAUCCAUCUUAGCGCCCGGGGUUAGUGUUUAUCUCAACUCUGCGAGCGCGUAGAACACUAGAUGACUUAGGAGAGCUAAUAGCUUAAAUGUAGCCUCUCAUUUGGAGCCCUUGCUGGCCAGGUCUUGAAGCAAGCCUUGAAGGAGGUCGUAUGAAUGUUCCCCUGGAGCCCAGUUACCAAGCUGGCCUACAUUCCUGAUCAUGUUGUAAUGGACGGAGCCCUCAGCUCAGCCCACACUCUUUCCUGGCCCAUGCAAUGUCUCAGAAGAGCCAUGUUUCUCCCUGUAAAAAUGGGUGGUCCAUCUCGUUAACCUAGCUGAACAUCAGGUAUUGGCUAGCUGUAAGGGAGUGGGGGGCCGAUUUGCUUAGGGAGUGAAGAACCCUGGCUGCCUAAAUCUCUCCUGAGCCCUAAAAGCUUCAAGAUGCUGGCUUCUCCCCUGUUGAGGACCCAACUCAGUACUGGGAUUUGGGGGAAAAAAAUUAUAAUAGCAUCAAGCUAUUAGCUGAACAGUUUACAUGCAAAGAGGUGAUUUAGUGAGAGGCCUAAUGAGGCAAGAUUUGCAUGUCAUUUAUCUAAGAGUUGCACAGAGCCUCUAACUAGUAGCUCUUGCCCUCUCUGUGGCAAUAAUGGGAGAAGGGGGUCCUCCCUGGGCUCACAAUUCGGCCCUCCCACUCUCCCCUUGUGCUCCUGGAGGCUUCCUGCUUGCUCCCUGCACCUCCAAACCUGGUUGAUGAUACCAUCUUACCCUCCCCACACCAUGGUCAUGCCUGCCCAACUGCCAGCUCUGCCCCACCCCGUCCCAGAUCACGCCCUCAGUCUGAAGCUCUUCUCUUGAACAAGCAGCCCCAUCUCUCAAGCUUCACUCUCCUGCCCAGUCCUUCUUCUAGAGAAGGCAAGCAUCCCUCUAGAUCUGCCUAUCCACAUGCUUCAUGAGCCCUCGGAACCCCAGCACUGCUGUGCCUAGCAGAAGCCAUGGGUGGGCACUCCUGUUCUCUGUUAUCUAAGCCUGCUUAUAAAGCAACUCAUUUCCCUGCGAUGUACCUUCCUUUUGCCUUGAAUUAAUUCUGCAUUUUUAAACCUUACCACUAAAUUUAUCCCCAGGCAGAAGUAUGGAGAGUUGGCCCCACCCAUGGCUGACUUGCUUAUCUUCCUGCUUCCUUCCCUCGUGCCUACCCUCUUGAAGGUGUGAAAUGAAGUAGAAUAAAGUAGGCACAUGCUCCUGUUAGUGACCAGUACUCCACAGUAAAACCUAAUGUGUCAGCAGCUGGCAAUGGUGCACGCAGCCAGACACGGGGCUGUGCACUCUAUGCCCCCUCCACUGUGAGGCUGUAGAGGCCGCAGUCAGGACCUCGGCCUGAACCGGUGAAACCAGUGUGGCUCCUGGCAAGAACUCUUCUCACCAGUGAUCCUAGGACAUCUGUCUCCAGGGGCUUAGAAGAGGGUCAGCACCCAGCCACAACCAACUGGUCUCUUGCCCUCCGGUCCCACCUUGUGGGAGAGACAAAUACCUACUGCAGAAUGAGAAGGCAUAAUCGGAUGCUAAUUAGAUGCUAAUUAGAUCAGUGGUUCUCACUCUUGGGUGCAGAUGAAGCUCCUUGGAGUUUGUUUGUUUUCCUCGAUGGGCCCCACACUCAAGGAAGUCACUUUCAGCUGCUUUGAGGUGGGGCCUAGAUCUUCAACUCUCCAAAGGUCCAGGAACCAGGUCCAGGUUCGGGACUGCUGGUCUGGUCUGGUCACCAGGCACCGGAGCAGCAGGGCUGCAGAGCAGAGCUUCUAGCCUUUAGUCGCCCCUCAUAACUACCUGCCAAGGCUGUUGAAGGCUGGACCAAGUGAAUCCAAUGCAAAUUAUAGUAAUUGGCAACCUGUUUAGAAUCUGCAUUUCCUGACCUUUUCUCCUUGCUGCCUUCUUCCCUCCUUCCCCGUCCUCCCUUCCCCCUCAUCAUCUUCAGAGGCCCACACAUGGCUAAACACAGACUCCAUCACUAGGCUCCACCUCCAGCUCCAAGAGUCUGCUUUUCUUUUUAUUAAUUAAUUUACUUCCCAGACAUUGUCCCUCCCUCUCAGUCCCACACACACACAGAGUCCCUCCCCUGCCCUCCUCCUCUUCCCUUCUGAGAGAAUGGGGCCCCACCCUGGGUAUCCCCACACCAUGGGUAUCCCCUACCCUGGUGCAUCAAGACUGCAGGCUUAGGCACACCCCUUCCCACAUUUCUAGCAAGGCCCAGGCCACUCCGGAUGGACACAUUCAGUAGCUGAAGAACUCUAGUUAGACCGUUAGUGCCAUGGGAACUGAAAAAUGAAGAGGGAGCUGAUGGCGAAAGGCUUAAUGAUAGUGGCCAGUCUGAUUCUUGAAGGAAAAGCAAGAUUGGAGUAUAAGAGAAAGAGGGUAUUCUUUGAAGGGAACACUGAGAACGGCAGGAAGUGGGGGACGAGAAGACCAGGAGCAGAAAAAUGGCCACUGAAAACUGACACAUGCUGGAAAGACAGAUGGAAGUUGGGGCACCACAUGCAGGCACCUCCCAGUUCAAGAGGCUGAUCCAGUUCCAAGGAGUCUACUGGCAGCUGGUCUUUGUGAUGGAAAUAAUUAUUGUUCUGUGAGCCCCAGACUGACAGCUCCCAAUCCUGCCUGUCAGCCAACGUGGAUAUUUUUUUCACCUGGCUUGCUAGUAAUGGUUUGUUCCUGGCAGUCUGGAGUGACUCCCACUUCUCCAACAUCAAGUCAAAGGGGCCUCAGCUCUCCAAGAGCGGAGGGUCUCGAAACCACACAAGGUAGUUAAUUGUUUCCCAGCCAGCAGCCAGAGAACACUCGCAUGUUUUGUACAAUGCUUGGUCAUAGGUUCCUCAGUCAAGAUCACGAUCAAAGAAAGAGACACGGCCUCUUUCUCUCCUCCACUAUCUUGGAAGUAUUUUGUUUACAAGAUUUCGCCAACAAACGGCACAUCUUUCCUUCAACAGAGCUACAUCUGUGGGUACAAGAACACAAAAGCGCACUUGUGCCAAAUCCUUGUCCCUUGAAAACUGUACUUACUGUAUGCAGUCAUAUAUUCCCAACACUUGCAAAGUACCACUGACUUGUAUACUCUCAAGAUUUGGAGAUUAGACGUACAAAGUACAAAGAAGGCAGGGCCCUGAUUCUUCCACAGCCUCCAGGAAAGGAUUCUCCUUGCCUCUUUCAGUUAUGGCAGACCUAGACAUCCCUUAGCUUGUAGGACAUACCUCACACAAGUCUCACAAGCGUCCUUUCUUGUGUCUGUGUCCAAAUGCCCUUCUUCUUCUAAAGACUCUGGUCAUAAGGGGUGGUGUUAUAUCAGUCGUUGGCUGCAUGAACAGAUUGUGAAAGCUGGCUCUUUAAUCCACUCCACGCAGUUAAGACCCACGGCAGUUCUAGGUGCUAUGGAUGUAGCCGUUAACAAAAAAGACACAGGUCACAGCCCACAUAAUUCACCUGUCAGUGAAGAACAGACCUAAAAAUAAAACAUGGUAUGUGGAAACAGAAUACAAA